rnacentral:lncRNA from 1 species
GGCCUCCCGUCCUGGAUGCUGAGAUGCAAAGAAGCGGGAAGCAGGCGUACAUUUGAGGAGCUCACACCGUAAAUUAAGAGCCCUCUGGACACUAUGGGGAGCAGAAGGCACAGAGCAGAGUGACCUGCAGGCCUCGCCCCCAGCCCUUGAGUGUAAUGAAGUCCUGAAGCAGGUGCACUGACACACAGCAGGAGCUUGAGUUCCUAGGCCACGCAUUUAGCCCAAAUGGGCAGAGUCAGGAGACAGUCAGCCAGCAGGGGACAGGGAGCAGCCACAGCCCAGAUGGCCACCGGAGAAGCGCGAGCAACUGUCCCCAGCCUGAGACCCGAGACGGCCCCUGACCUCUUCUCCUAGAGGCUCGCCGCCGCGGCCCCUCGAGCCCGGCCGCCGCCACCGCCAGUGCCCGGGCGGGCCCUAC